UCAGAAAAUAUAAAACAUACAUAACACGAAAAUAGAUCAAAUCCGGCUACAAACCUUCGAUAAAUUCCAAGGCCAUGCCUUCAAAUACGUAUUUUCUGGUAUCAAAACAUAGAUCGCCAGAAGAUCGGACAGAAUCUGAGAGCGAGGAGCAAAGUAUUUUUCUGGUAUCAAAACAUAGAUCGCCAGACGAUCGGACAGAAUCCGAGAGCAAGCAGCACAGACUAGAAGCCAUCGACGGUUGAUCAGAAUAAAACUGAAUGAAACGAAAGCAGAGAAGAUCAAAAUAGCGG
rnacentral:lncRNA from 1 species